CCUCUGGUAGCUCAGCUGGUAGAGCGGUGGACUCUAAUUCCAUAGGUCGCUGGUUCGAAUCCGGUUCAGAGGA
rnacentral:tRNA from 1 species